AUGACAUGAAGGCGGUGUGGCCACCGUGCACUUGAAGGGGUCUGUCCUAGCUUUCCUAGAAAUUAAGAGGUGCUUCUUUUAACCUGACAGCGGUCUAUGGUUACCUGGAGCAGAGAACUAAUCAUUUUGCAUCACCUCAUUUGCUUGUUUGUGACCCCGCUAAACAGCGAAUGCUGUGAGGGCAAGGUAACAUACCUUUCAGCUCUUGGAGGCCUCAGCAUCUGGCACCGCCCUUGGUAUACCACUGGUGCUCAACCUGUGUUUCUUCUAUGAGUGAGUCAACGUGUGGAGGAAGCAGGCAAGUGUCUGUCAGAAUCCCGCAUCAUCACACUGAGAAGGCAGAGCCUUGGGCAAAAUCCAUAUGCAUAGACAUAUCCCCACCCCAGCUCUGGACUGGAAGAGAGACCAUCUGAUGGCCCACGUCCUGCCUGAGGGCCAGCUCCUGCGAGGGCUUGCGAUGAUGCGUGACCCUUGCCGGAUACACCUUGUCUGGAGCUCCAAGAUGCCCCGGUGUACCCACAGCUCUCCUCCACUCUGCCUUGUGGUGACAAGGUGGUCGAGGUGGGCAGCCUGAGCCCAGGCAGCGAUUUCUCCCAUCCUGAGCUUUUCUGUUUCCAGUUCCAUCUCUGGCCCUAGGCUCUUCUUGAGUCCAUCCCUCUGGGUGUUUUGGUUUGUUUGGAUAUCCAUUUCAAAAACACUUGUUCCAUAUUAUGUGCAUGGUAUUGUCUAGUUGCCAUGGUGAAGUCUGCACUGUCAGCCGCAUCCAGGAGGACGAUACGUCUCCAUUGGAGCAUGACUUAGAAGGAACUGGGGCCGCACUGAGUUCCACAGCCAGGGUCUUUGCUCACAACCUCUACACUGGCACGGAGUGUUGAUUCACCAAGGGGCAAUGCCUUGGUGUCGUGAACACCCAGGCAUUAUCUUAUUUUUACCCUUUUACUGCCAUUACUACACAAAGGCAAACACACCCGGGACUUGUAAGAGAAAAGGUAGCAUCUCACUCCCCCAGAUAGACAUAUAACCUUUCCAUUUCUGUUGAAGCUACCUUCUGCAUACAUUCCUGAAAUUACAGAAGCUUGGGGUUUGAAAUGACUUUAGAGGUUACCGAGUAUAUAACCCCUUCCAUGCUCAAAUUUUCUUCUCUGAGAAGCCAUGAGUCAGCAUAUACCUGAAUACCUUCAGCUAAAGAAAACACGGUGCUUUACAAGGCAGCCCAUUUCAAGGUUAGAGAGCUCUGACCUUAGGAACUUUUUCCCCUUUAUGAACUGAAAUUGGUCUUUCUUGACAUUUUACCCAUUAGCUCAGUUCUUUUGAGCCACAUAACAAAUUAGUACAAGCCUAGAAGUUUAAAACAAUAUUUAUUUAUUUAUUUAUUUAUUUAUUUAUUUAUUUUAAGAGGGGGUGGGGAGGAGAAAGGGCAGAGAGAAAGGGAGAGAGAGAAUCCCAAGCAGGCUCUGUGCUGUGGGCUCAGUCUCACAAACCGUGAGAUCAUGCCCUAAGCUGAAGUCGAGAGUCGGACAUUUGACUGAUGGAGCCACCCAGGUGCCCCCAGCAAUCCAUAUUUAUUAUCUCACAUUUUUUGUGAGUUAGGAAUCUAGUCAUGACUUAGCUGGGUUCUCUGCGGUAGGGCGUCUCAUGAGCGUCUCAUGAGGCUGCAAUCAAGGUGGUAGCUCUGAUCGGCGUCUCAUCUGAAAGCUUGACUGGGGAAGGAUCCACUUCCGAGGACACAUGGUUGUUGCCAGGCUUCAUUUCCUUGCUGGCUGUUGCCCAGAGGCUGCCCUCAGUUCCUUGCCAUGUGGACCUCUCAUUAGGGCAGCUGACAACAGAGCAGCUGGCCUCAUCAAAGCUAGCCAGGAAGAGAGCCUGUGAGCAAGGCCCAAGUUAGGUUCUCAUGUAAUCUAAUCAUAGAAAUGACAUUACCCUCUACAUUAAGGUAUUCUAUUGGCUACAAGCCAGCUGCUCAAGGGGAGGGGAUCACAUAGGCCAUGAAUACCAAGAUAGAAGUUCUAGGAGCCCCAGUAUCUCAUGGGGAAAGAGUUUUAGGGUCAGCACACUGAACUCCAACUAACCACCCUAUUCAUGUUUUGGAGCAGGCAUUCCAGAGAUCUUUGAGUAUGGUGCAUUUUAAUAUGAAAUUUAUAAAUUGGAAAAAUUAAGAUUUCCUCUCCUUCAUCCUCUCCCCCAACAACCUAGUAAAGAGUUUACUCCUGUGCCAUCUAUAAACGGGGUUUUUUUUCCUUCCUUUCCAGAGGAUUGAACAAAUAGAACAGCUUUUCAUGAAAAUAGACUAUGAAUCAGUGGGCAGAACUGAAUGGGAUGGCUUCUGCACAUAUCUGCAGCUCGAGUAUUCAGAGCAAGCGGAUGCUUUGGCCCGACAGAAAGAGGUUUCCUUCCAUCUGCCUGCUGUGCUGCUGAAGUUGAAAAGAAGAAAGAGAGUUUCUGUAUGUGAUUUUCAUUUGAUAAGGAUGCUGAGUGCUCUAGUUUGAUUUUAUUUGCUAUUUUAAACUGCUCUUCAAGUGGCAUGAUUACAGAAAUUGUGUCCUUGAAUGUAAUAUAUUCACGUUGUCUUUUGCUAGUCUAUAGAAUGCAAAUAAAAUAUGAUCUCUAUAUGUAGUACAAGAUAA